rnacentral:rRNA from 1 species
CCAGGCCCAAACUGUGGAAGGGGUACCCCCAGGGGCUCCCGGAAAAAGGGGGUUUUCCCUGGGCCUAAACCCCUUUGGGAAUAAGAGGGGGGCAGAAUGGGUGUCAGCCGCCCCGGUACCCCCAGCCCCUCGAGUGGUGGGGAUGAUUAUUUGGCCUAAAGCGUCCGUAGCGGGCCGGGUAAGUCUCCCGUUAAAUCCAGCGUCUCAAGCGUUGGACUGCGGGAGAUACUGCCUGGCUAGAGAGUGGGAGAGGUGUACGGUAUUCUGGGGGUAGGGGCGAAAUCCUUUGAUCCCCGGAGGACCACCAGUGGCGAGGGCUGUACACUAGAACACGUCUGACGGUCAGGGACGAAAGCUGGGGUAGCGAACCGGAUUAGAUACCCGGGUAGUCCCAGCCGUAAACGAUGCACGCUAGGUGUUGGGGUGGCCACGAGCCGCCCCAGUGCCGCAGGGAAGCCGUUAAGCGUGCCGCCUGGGGAGUACGGCCGCAAGGCUGAAACUUAAAGGAAUUGGCGGGGGA